rnacentral:rRNA from 1 species
UACGUAGGGCGCAAGCGUUAUCCGGAAUUAUUGGGCGUAAAGAGCUCGUAGGCGGUUUGUCGCGUCUGCCGUGAAAGUCCGGGGCUCAACUCCGGAUCUGCGGUGGGUACGGGCAGACUAGAGUGAUGUAGGGGAGACUGGAAUUCCUGGUGUAGCGGUGAAAUGCGCAGAUAUCAGGAGGAACACCGAUGGCGAAGGCAGGUCUCUGGGCAUUAACUGACGCUCAUGCACGAAAGCGUGGGGAUCAAACAGG